GAUGAACGCUGGCGGCGUGCCUAAUACAUGCAAGUCGAGCGAACAGACGAGGAGCUUGCUCCUCUGACGUUAGCGGCGGACGGGUGAGUAACACGUGGAUAACCUACCUAUAAAACUGGGAUAACUUCGUGAAACCGGAGCUAAUACCGUAUAACAUGUUGAACCGCAUGGUUCAACAGUGAAAGACGGUCUUGCUGUCACUUAUAGAUGGAUCCGCGCCGCAUUAGCUAGUUGGUAAGGUAACGGCUUACCAAGGCAACGAUGCGUAGCCGACCUGAGAGGGUGAUCGGCCACACUGGAACUGAGACACGGUCCAGACUCCUACGGGAGGCAGCAGUAGGGAAUCUUCCGCAAUGGGCGAAAGCCUGACGGAGCAACGCCGCGUGAGUGAAGAAGGUCUUCGGAUCGUAAAACUCUGUUAUUAGGGAAGAACAAAUGUGUAAGUAACUAUGCACGUCUUGACGGUACCUAAUCAGAAAGCCACGGCUAACUACGUG
rnacentral:rRNA from 1 species